ensembl:lncRNA
UUACCCCAUAUAAUGUGUACUGUAUACCUAUUUGGACAGUGUUUUUUUUUUAAUUGGUACGUAAGGAAAUUUCUACAUUUACAGGGACUAAACUGAUUUUAUUCUUUUUUUUUUCCCACCACCCCAGCAGGUUUAACUGUGCUCUCAGACUUUGCUUUGAAACUAAGUAAACGCUAAGUUGCACUUACUGUUUUGUGCUUUUGUUUUUUCUCUUUUAGGCAGGCAGGUGAAAAUGGCGUUCAUCCACUCAGCUGCUAAGCCACCUAGAAAUGUGAGGAUCCAACAGGAUAUUAACGGCACGGCCGGUCCUGUGACACUACCUCACCCAACAGACAGACCCAGUGAGAAUCGGGCAAGAUCCGGCUUCAGUGAACCUUCAAAACCCUCCACUAACAGCUCUGGCCAAGCUCAAGACCCCCAAAAGUUUAAAAGAGUGGUGCACAUGAUGGCAAAGUCCCUGAAGGCCUUUAAAAAAUAGCUUAGUCGUAGUCACAGAUGAAUUUGGGAGAUAAUAGUGAAAAUAUACCAUACCCACCCUUAUGGUUCAAAUAGAUUAGUGUGUGUUUUUUUUUUUUUUUAAUUCCACAAGAUGCUUACAGGAUUGAUGAAAUUUGAUCAACUUCAUACUUAUUUGUAUGAACAAUAAUUGACCUUUGAUAUCAGCCUCUUUGUAUUGAUUUUUUUUCUAUCGUGACAGACACAGUAUGAAUUCUGAAAUUAAAACUAUAAUAACCACAAAAUCGGUUGUCUGCUAUGGUGCUUGUGUGCCAUGUGUACUAUCAAACCCAAAUUUGUCUCCAUCUAGUGGAUGUGGGAGGCAUUUUAGUUCAUUCCUAGACCAUUGAAGUCACCUUUAUUUAUAUAGUGCUUUAUACAAUACAGAUUGUAUCAAAGCAGCUUUACAGUAUUAAACAGGAAAAUAGUGUGUCAAUAAUGCAAGAGGACAAUAGUAAACACUUUUUUUUUUUUUUUGAUUCAGUGAUGGUCCAGCUUAGUUCAGUUCAAAAAGUAUCUGUGCAAUCAAGUCGACAAUAUUGCCAGAAACUAAGUUUCCCCAACUAAGCAAGCCAAAGGCGACAGUGGCAAGGAACCAAAACUCCAUAGACAGAAAUGGAGAAAAAAAUCCUUGAGAGAAACCAGGCUCAGUCAGGGGGGGCCAGUUCUCCUCUGGCCAGACGAAACCAGCAUGGUGUGGUUUAAUUCCAGGCUGCAACACAAGUCAGAGUUUUGUAGAGGACUCAUCUGAUUCUCAUGGUCUUGUGCCGAUGGUUGUCUAGUUGACGAGGUCUUUGCAGAGAAUCUGGCUUUGGGGUUCAUCUAGUUGACAUGGUCUCUGCUGCCAUUCAGGGCUUUGACACAAUCUGUACUGUAUAAAGCUCUAUAUCAAUAAAGAUUACUUUAUUUGACUUGCGGUAGAGGUC